CGCAUCUGUGCAUGCAGCAUAUCAAUAAGCGGAGGAAAAGAAACUAACAAGGAUUCCCCUAGUAACGGCGAGUGAAGCGGGAAGAGCUCAAAUUUGAAAUCUUAAAGGGUUUCCCUUUACGAAUUGUAGUUUAAAGAAGUGUUUUCUGUUGAGGUUUUGGUAAAAGUUCUUUGGAAUAGGACAUCAUAGAGGGUGAGAAUCCCGUAUUUGACCUUUACUUUCAACUUUGUGAUACACUUUCAAAGAGUCGGAUUGUUUGGGAAUGCAGUCCAAAAUGGGUGGUAAAUUUCAUCUAAAGCUAAAUAUUGGCGAGAGACCGAUAGCGAACAAGUACCGUGAGGGAAAGAUGAAAAGAACUUUGAAAAGAGAGUUAAACAGGUACGUGAAAUUGUCAAAAGGGAAGCGUUUGACACCAGUGUUGUUUUUCUGAAAAUCAAUUAAAGAACUGUUUAUGCUAAGUUGUUUAGACUUUAUCAGCUAUCUGUUUAGUUUUGAGCUUUUCUUUAAUGCACUUUUCAGUUAACAAGUCAACAUCAAUUUCUUUUGCUGUAAAAAAGCUUGAGGAAGGUGGCUUGAGAUUCGUCUUAAGUGUUUAUAGCCUCUUGCCUAUGCAGUCGGAGAGAUUGAGGUCUGCAGCGUAGAUCCUUCGGGGCUAAAUGCGUUUGUGCUAAGUUAUAGCAUUUUAUAGACAACUUGUUGACUAUGAUUUGUCUUGUAGCUUACUCGCUUAUGUUAUUUUACCUACGCUUAGGAUGUUGAAUCUGUGCGAGACUAC
rnacentral:rRNA from 1 species